rnacentral:rRNA from 1 species
UUAAGAUUAAAGAUUUAUCGGUAUGUGAUGGGGAUUCGUUCCCUUAGGCUGUUGACGGGGUUACGGUCCUCCAUAUUUCCGAUGGAUAGGGGUUGUGAGAGGAAGGUCCUCCUCAUUGGAGUUGAGACACGGUCCUAUCUCUUACGGGAGGCAUCAGUGAGGAAUAUUGGUCAAUGGGCGAGAGCGUGAUCCUCCCAAGUAGCGUGAAGGAUGUCGACCCUCCGGGUCGUAAACUUAUUUUGUGCGGGAAUAAAGGAAGUUGCAUGUAGGUUUUUGCAUGUGCUGUAAUGAAUAAGCAUUGGCUAUCUGCGUGCCAGCAGCUGCGGUAAUACGGAGGAUGCGAGCGUUAUCCGGAUUUAUUGGGUUUAAUGGGAGUGUAGUCGGGUUUUUAAGUCAGUUGUGAAAGUUUGGGGCUCAACCUUAAAAUUGCAGUUGAAUCUGGAUUCCUUGAGUCCGGUCGAGACAGGCGGACUUCUUGGUGUAGCGGUGAUAUGCUUAGAUAUCGUGAAGAUCGCCGAUAGCGAAGUCAGCCCGUUAAGCCCCCACUGUCGCUGAGGCUAAAAAGGGCGGGUAUCAUCC